rnacentral:rRNA from 1 species
AUUGAACGCUGGCGGCAGGCCUAACACAUGCAAGUCGAGCGAGCGGCGGACGGGUGAGUAAUGUCUGGGAAACUGCCUGCUGGAGGGGGAUAACUACUGGAAACGGUAGCUAAUACCGCAUACCAUCAGAGGGGCCCAGAUGGGAUUAGCUAGUGGGUGGGGUAACGGCUCACCUAGGCGACGAUCCCUAGCUGGUCUGAGAGGAGGACCAGCAACACUGGAACUGAGACACGGUCCAGACGCCUACGGGAGGCAGCAGUGGGGAAUAUUGCACAAUGGGGUCAAGCCUGAUGCAGCCAUGCCGCGUGUGUGAAGAAGGCCUUCGGGUUGUAAAGCACUUUCAGCGGAGAGGCGUUACCCGCAGAAUAAGCACCGGCUAACUCCGUGCCAGCAGCCGCGGUAAUUC